GACGAACGCUGGCGGCGUGCUUAACACAUGCAAGUCGAACGGAAAGGCCCUGCUUUUGUGGGGGGCUCGAGUGGCGAACGGGUGAGUAACCCGUGAGUAACCUGCCCUUGACUUUGGGAUAACUUCAGGAAACUGGGGCUAAUACCGGAUAGGAGCUCCUGCUGCAUGGUGGGGGUUGGAAAGUUUCGGCGGUUGGGGAUGGACUCGCGGCUUAUCAGCUUGUUGGUGGGGUAGUGGCUUACCAAGGCUUUGACGGGUAGCCGGCCUGAGAGGGUGACCGGCCACAUUGGGACUGCGAUACGGCGCAGACUCCUACGGGAGGCAGCAGUGGGGAAUAUUGCACAAUGGGCGGAAGCCUGAUGCAGCAACGCCGCGUGCGGGAGGACGGCCUUCGGGUUGUAAACCGCUUCCGCCUGUGACGAAGCGUGAGUGACGGUAAUGGGUAAAGAAGCACCGGCUAACUACGUG
rnacentral:rRNA from 1 species